UCCUACGGGAGGCAGCAGUGGGGAAUUUUGGACAAUGGGGGCAACCCUGAUCCAGCAAUGCCGCGUGAGUGAAGAAGGCCUUCGGGUUGUAAAGCUCUUUUGUCAGGGAAGAAAAGGCUGUGGCUAAUAUCCACAGCUGCUGACGGUACCUGAAGAAUAAGCACCGGCUAACUACGUGCCAGCAGCCGCGGUAAUAUGUAGGGUGCAAGCGUUAAUUGGAAUUACUGGGCGUAAAGCGUGCGCAGGCGGUUUCGUAAGUCUGUCGUGAAAUCCCCGGGCUUAACCUGGGAAUGGCGAUGGAGACUGCGAAGCUAGAGUUUGCCAGAGGGGGGUAGAAUUCCACGUGUAGCAGUGAAAUGCGUAGAGAUGU
rnacentral:rRNA from 1 species